CGAUGAUUUCAAAAAAGAAUCUUACCCAAUGAACGGAAUAAUAUGAAUAAUCACGUUCCCAAUGUUUUGGUUUUCAAUCGUUAUUUUAUUUUUUGUUUUUUUACUUGUCCACCUGUGCACACUUUUUCUGCUUCACUGCAGACAUUUUGCCAAACCGCAACAUGGCGGCCUCGGGGACGUUUCUCCUGUCAUUUCAGUUGUUUUGUUUCCUCUGUACAGCAGGAGGUACAGUACUUGUGCAGUGGUUUUUUGUUUAUAAUAUAUAGUGCUAAGCUCGAAUCACAUCGAAGCAUAACAGAAUGCAGCAGUGUGUGUUUUCACGUCGUCAAUCAAUUGAGCUCAUAUGUCAGUUGCACAAUUUUGAAUUGCAGUCAAGUCAUAAAGUGUGAGAAAUUUUCUGAUUUUUUACCCUUCAAUAACAAAGGAGCUACUACACCCAGCUCGUAUUCACAAUCAUUAGAUGACCGAAAGUUCCAAACACACACCGACAAUGGACGUUGGUUUGACAUCUUUACUUCUUCGAAAGAAAAAUGACCACACACAAAAGAAAAACAAAACACACACGUCAUUUGCAUUUUUUUCUUCAGGGGUUGAUCUUUUUUUUUGGUUUUAAGUCUGGUCCGUUUUCCAUCUGCUGCUGUCUUCAGGGGAAGGGAUAGGUACAAAAAGGUGAGAGAGGGACAACUCUCUAUAUUUCUCCAGUUGUUUCGACAUGGAAAACUUUGGAAACAAUCUCAACAAGAAAAUGAGAAGAUAUUCUGUUAACACAAACGCUGUUGGCUGUCCACGAAAACGCGUUGAAGAGGAAAAGAAGAUUUUUAGGAUUUCCCAGGACAACCUGCUGUGAACCCAUCAGCGCCAAAAUCUUUUGUUUCUUUUCUACAACAGCUUUUGUAUGAAUUGCUGGACACUGUGUGGACUGCACAUUGGCCUCAACAGGAACGAAUCAGAGCUGCCGUAGAAAGCCAACAUUGUCAUGGGAAGGACGCCCUUUUCUCUCCAGUUCUACAGUUGGGCUCUCUUCAUUACUAAAGCGGCUUAAUGAGAAGAUUCUACGACUCUUUGGUGGUUAAGGAAAAAAAAAAAAUAAAAGAAUUCUCGUGUCCGUCUAUGAUGAAGCCGUGAAGAUGAGCAACUGGCAGAGAAAGAACAAUGUGGCGCAUUAGCUCUAAUUGGACUGGACAUGGCAGCUUGUCUGUCGACUUACAAGAAUCGGGUCAAUGCUUUCACACCAGAUAUUCGUGUACACGAGAAAGAGUAGAAAACGCGAUAAAAAGUGUGAAAAUCUCUAGCGUCUCUACACGGAUUCCCUGUUUGAUGGAUGCCGUGCGAGAUAUGAUGAAGCGAUCAAAUCCUUUGUUGGUCAUCCGUGUUUGCGGCUUUGUAUUCUAUAUCGAAAUAGAGUUAUGGAGGCGCGGUUUGGGUAUGAAGAGAUUCGUGCGUCUACAUGCGAGCAGCUUCGUCACACAGUCACGUACUAUCAAAGCCCGGAACAAGGAGAUGAAAAGAUAAGAGAAACGAGUCAUCCAGGAAUCUGUUCACGCUCCCAGCAGGGAAGCAAGACAUGAUGUAUACAGCAGAUAAAGAUAAGAAAAAAAAAAAAAAAUAAAUAGGAAAAAGGGGGUCAAAAACGUUUGAAUAUUUGCUGUUUUGAAUAGUUCAUUACACAUAACGCGACAGCCAAUUUACACACAGGUGGAACACGUUCAAAAGAAACGCACACACGAAUAUGAUACACAGAACAAAUCACGACGGAUGAAAAGAAACUUGCGUAUGCACGCAAUGACUAAACGCCGAUACACUUACAUAUAUAUCAAAUAUCGUGCGACAUGUACGUCCUCCCCUUUCACGAAAAGGAAAAGAAAAAAAUAAACGCACAAUUUACACACUUGGCAUAAAUUUCGAAGAAGAUGCCGUACAGAGAGAAAUCCUAUCUGACAGAGGGAAAGUGGGGAGAUAUACAUAUGUAUACUAUGCAGAAAUCGAUAAGAUGUACUUUGUAGAUUAAAGUUGUUUUUUUUUGUUGUUGUUGUUGUUGUGUCGGGUAGAUAUUAAAUAGAAUAUCCCCCGCGUCGUCAAAUGACAGUGAGAGCAUACGAAGGAGAUGAUGGACGUUGCCUGUAACAUAUCGGCUUGUAAAAUACGAGAAGAGAGUGGGG
rnacentral:lncRNA from 1 species